rnacentral:rRNA from 1 species
UAGCAUAUCCUGUGUAGGAUAGGUGGUAGGCUGUGAAAGAGGGGCGUUAGCCUCUCCGGAGCCAUCCUUGAAAUACCACCCUUGAUAUGUUUGGAUUCUAACCUUUCGCCGUUAUCCGGCAAAGGGACAGUGUUUGGUGGGCAGUUUGACUGGGGCGGUCACCUCCCAAAGAGUAACGGAGGUGUCCCAAGGUCUCCUCAGUGUGGUUGGAAAUCACACCAAAGAGUGUAAGGGCAUAAGGAGGCUUAACUGCGAGAGAGACAUCUCGAGCAGAUGCGAAAGCAGGGCCUAGUGAUCCGGCGGUAACUAGUGGAUGUGCCGUCGCUUAACGGAUAAAAGGUACUCCGGGGAUAACAGGCUUAUCUCCCCCAAGAGUCCAUAUCGACGGGGAGGUUUGGCACCUCGAUGUCGGCUCGUCGCAUCCUGGGGCUGAAGCAGGUCCCAAGGGUUUGGCUGUUCGCCAAUUAAAGCGGUACGCGAGCUGGGUUUAGAACGUCGUGAGACAGUUCGGUCCCUAUCCGUCGUGGGCGUAGGAUACUUGAAGAGGGUCUGCCUCUAGUACGAGAGGACCGAGGUGGACGAACCUCUAGUGUACCAGUUGUCCUGCUCAGGGCAUCGCUGGGUAGCUAUGUUCGGUCGGGAUAAACGCUGAAAGCAUCUAAGUGUGAAGCCCACCUCAAGAUUAGGUAUCCCAUCUGGAUUUAUCCAGAGAGAGACCCCGGGUAGACUACCCGGUUGAUAGGUCAGAAGUGUAAGGACAGUAAUGUCUUUAGCUAACUGAUACUAAUAGGUCGAGGACUUGACCGU